rnacentral:rRNA from 1 species
CUUAGCGCCUUAGCGCGGUGGUCCCACCUGACCCCAUGCCGAACUCAGAAGUGAAACGCCGUAGCGCCGAUGGUAGUGUGGGGUCUCCCCAUGCGAGAGUAGGGAACUGCCAGGC